rnacentral:rRNA from 1 species
GACGAACCGUGCGAACGUUGUUCGGAAUCACUGGGCAUAAAGGGCGCGUAGGCGGCUUAUCAAGUCAGGGGUGAAAUCCGGCAGCUCAACUGUCGAAGUGCCUUUGAUACUGAUGAGCUCGAGGGAGGUAGGGGUCUGUGGAACUUCCGGUGGAGCGGUGAAAUGCGUUGAUAUCGGAAGGAACGCCGGUGGCGAAAGCGACAGACUGGAUCUCUUCUGACGCUGAGGAGCGAAAGCCAGGGGAGCAAACGGG